AUUCAUCACUGUAAAUACACUGACCUCCACUUCUGUAACAGCAAAACUACAUCAGUCUGUUACACUAUCAUGCAAUAACAAAUGUUCUGGUGUUGUCACAUGGACUACGUUCCAUAAUCCAGGCAAUAUACUGGCACAGUGUAAUAAAACAAAGUGCUGGUCAGAGAAAGGAUAUGAAGUGUCUCAUGAUCAGUACCUGAAGGGAAAGUUUCUUCUCACCAUCACUGCAGUAGACUACAGUAAUCGUGCCCUAUACACAUGUGUGUGUGAUGGUGUAGAUGCAUGUGAUGUGCGUCUCAUCAUUCAAACUUUGACAUCAUUAGUUCAUUUAAACUCUGGUAAAGCUCUAGUGAUGGAUUUGCCCAUACCAGAGCCAGUGGAGGUGAUGUACAAAGCCAUAGAUUCAGCUGACUCAACGCUCGC